CUCAUGGCCCCCACAUAAUCUGAUUUUCACUCUGGCUUUGCUUUUAAAACAGAUCCUGACUUGCCUUUUGUUCUUCCGGGAAACUGCGUCUCUCUUGCAGUCACUUGAGUAAAGAGUGCGUUCGUUUCAGCUCUUUUGGCCUUUGCAGGAAGACCAAACUCACUUGAUUGGAGGUUGGCACUCUGUGAACACACGUUCAUCUGCAGGAUGUUCUAAGGUUGAGAAGCGACCAGUUUUAUUUCUGCAGAGGGAGCAAGAUAACAAUGGUGGCGAUGUCGCUACUGUGACAGGAGAGCUGCCUUGAUCUGAGUGCUCACUGGGUGCCAGGCCCUGCACCAGGCCGGUCACUAGUACAUAUCAUUUCAUCUUCUCCGCGGCUCUGUGAGCUUCUGCAAAGUCUGAUGUCCCCAAUGCCCACCUCCUCUCCAUCCCAAGGUCUCCAGAAAGCAACCCUCAGAUUCCUGCCAAGAUGGGAGGGGCGUUACCUGGCUACACCGGCAGACAGGAUGGAAGGCCUUCUUACACCAACUUCCAGCCAAGGCCCCUGUGCUUAGCCCUGGCCAGCUCUACCACCUUCAGAGUUUUUAUUAAUUAAAAAUUAAUUUAAAAAUUUUAAAUGGUAGGCCUGACUUUUUGAAUAAAAUGUUUAAAUUUGAUUUUACAUU